UAUAGACCUAAUAAUUUUAACUUCUUGCUUUGCAUAAUUCUUCAAGCAAGAUGGAUGUUGCUUUCAGUAACUCUCAAGUUGUUUAAGGGAAGAGGAUGCAUGGUAGAAAGAUCUAGUGAGAAACCCAGUGAGGUGUUUCCUUUCAAAUGUAGAGAUUGUGAUACUAGUGUAAAACUUUUGCAUAUUUCCUCUUUAAACAAAGCGACCAUCAAAAAACUAUCGGAGAGAAAUUAACCGGGUGCGAUUGUAUUCAUAUUGGAGAGGAAUUUGACAUCCGAAAUCUGAGUGAUAGUGAUUUUUUAGUUUUGAUUAGUGGAUUGCUGGGUUUCAAGUUUUGUGUGGUGUUGGAUAUAAGAGGUUUAAGGUGUAAGUAGAUAUGAGAUUACAUUAGCAGCUAAAUGAGAUUUGAUGUCACGAUGGUUUACAGUUGCUUUAUUAUGCUCAAUUGUUGCUGGAAAAAAAAGAAUGACUUGCACCUUUAGAUCCAACCUUAAUCUGAGGUGUGUUUUUGCCCUAUGUUUUGUUAUUUUCAAGUUUUUCUGUUUAAGUUCCUGCUGAUUAGUUCUCUUGCUUCAUUUGGGUUUAUAUUUGAAUCUGUUUGACUUUAUUUUUUCUUUGUGUUUAUGUGAAUGUGAAUGAGCUUACAAAUGAAGAAAAAGUGAACAGCACUUGAUGUGAAUUUGGAAGAAAUAAACAUGAGAAUUUGCUAGAGCUUGCGUUGGGUGAGUUUUUUGGUGUACACCAGCUGACUGCAUUGUAACUACUGGGUUCUCAAAAGCAUUGGAGUUGAAUGAGGUUUUGCAUUGUGUUGGGGUAGUCACUCAGAGGCUUUGAUGAGUAUUGGUUUUGUUGGAUCAUAUUAUUGUUAACUGGACUGAGUUGAGAGCAGGUAUGUACUAGAGAGACUUAAAGAGGGUCUACAUUGAAGGAUUUUAUAAAAACUGGUUGCAGGGAGGAGUUUAGAGAGAAGUACAAGAAGGAACAUCCCAACAACAGAUCAGUCACUACUAAGAGAGCGCCCUACCACUCUACCAGGCCAAGGCAGAGAAGAGGAAGGUUGAAUAGAACAAUAAAGUGGAAGUUUAUAGCAAGAAACAAGUUCUCUAGCUCAACGUCAAAUGCAUCUGUAUGCUGAGAGUUGGAAUGUUUCUGCAUGGUCUGAUGGCUGAAUUUGUUAGUUGUUAGAAAUCAGAACAAGCUUCAGGACCAUUGUCUAUGUUUUUUGUAAUGCUAAUGGUCCCUGAAACAGCAGACAUUUUGUACAUCUACUGAUCAAUGUACGUACAAGCUUUUUGGCUAUUCUUCUUUGUUUUCUCAUUCAGUGUUUUUUACAACAAUACACAAAUUAUUAUUGCGACUAAAAAACCUGCAGCAUCACGCGGGCCUUUCUACCUAGUUCUCUACUCUAAAGCUCCAACUCCUAAUGAACAAUAUCAUUCCUUAUGAAUAGUGUGCUUUCAAUUUUGCCCCCUUAACGUCCGGAGUUUUUGCCCCUCAGUUUUAUGCUGUCUGUAUCUCGCCAUCGUUUGGUUGCCACCACAUCCAUGGAGAUGGACACGAAGAGAGAGAGAGAGAGAGAGUUUGAUUCUUUUUAUUUUUUAUUUUUUUGAGAAUAGAGAGAGUUUGAUUCACAGAGACGGAAAGAGAGAAAUAGAGAGAGAGAGAGAGAGAGAGAGAGAGAGGGCGAGGAGUUUUCAUGAUAUGUAUCUGCUAAUUAUAUGUAGAGAGAAAGUGAUGGUGGUAGCCACUCAUUGUUCUUCAAUUUGAGGCCUCCAGCAGCAAUUGCAACAGCUGCAAUCCAAGCCACCAUAUUUUGGGGAGUAACAUCCUUCCAAUUCUGAAAGUCCUCCAUAUACAUACUGAAACGAGAAGAUUUUGCCUUUUUCCAUUUGGAGAAGAGCAUGACGGGAGAGCCUGGAGAUGUAUAAUGGCUAUUUUUCAGCCUUUCACCUCCUUUCAUAUGGAAGACAGUCACACUAGGCUUUUGCUUAUUUUAUGUUUAAAUUACUCAUCCUCUACUUUUCAUUUUCUUCUUUUUUAGAUGAGAAAUUUAGAAAAAUAACCUCUUUUUAAACAGGAAAUUGAAAAAAGAGGAAAUUGAUUAUUGACCUCUUUGUAGAAAAAAUUGAAAUCUAACCAUUUUAGAGUGUGAAAAGACAUGAGUACCCAAAAUUUAGAGUUUUACUUUUUUGGGAUCGUAAAUCAGACCAAAACCAGUGGAUUUACCUCUCCAAAAUGGGAGCGGAACUUGAAAACAAAGAUGGAAUUUGGAGACGCUUGGUCUUCCUAGAUGCAGAACAUCAAUGACGACGAAUUGCUUUCUGGAGAGAAGUUGUUUUAGACUUUUAUCUUGAACUUCCUGGUUUGGAUAGUAACCGCCUUGUUAUCGGCCAUUGCUCUCCUUGUUUCUUUCUGGUUGUGCCUCUGCUCCUGUAAAUUAUAAAAAGAUAUGAAGAUUGUAAACAGUGAUCUAGUUGGUUUAGUACUAGAUAACCCUUAGAGCAACAACCGAAAACAUGACGAGGUUUUCAACACCACUUAUCAAUCUAGGCUGCAAAAACUCAUCCUUGCUACAGGGCACGGCUAUUGCCACCCUAUAAUUUUCUUUGUUCACCCUGCAAAUAUUUAAAUUAUUGAAAGACAAUAUUACCCAAAUGCAAAAUGACUAAUAAGUAUAUUAAUUU